ACCGAGUGAGGGCCCUCUGGGUCCAACCUCCCACCCGUGUUUAUUUUACCUUGUUGCUUCGGCGGGCCCGCCUUAACUGGCCGCCGGGGGGCUUACGCCCCCGGGCCCGCGCCCGCCGAAGACACCCUCGAACUCUGUCUGAAGAUUGAAGUCUGAGUGAAAAUAUAAAUUAUUUAAAACUUUCAACAACGGAUCUCUUGGUUCCGGCAUCGAUGAAGAACGCAGCGAAAUGCGAUACGUAAUGUGAAUUGCAAAUUCAGUGAAUCAUCGAGUCUUUGAACGCACAUUGCGCCCCCUGGUAUUCCGGGGGGCAUGCCUGUCCGAGCGUCAUUGCUGCCCUCAAGCCCGGCUUGUGUGUUGGGCCCCGUCCCCCGAUCUCCGGGGGACGGGCCCGAAAGGCAGCGGCGGCACCGCGUCCGGUCCUCGAGCGUAUGGGGCUUUGUCACCCGCUCUGUAGGCCCGGCCGGCGCUUGCCGAUCAACCCAAAUUUUUAUCCAGGUUGACCUCGGAU
rnacentral:rRNA from 1 species